GGCGGCCUUUUAGCCAGUUGUGUCGUUGGAUUUGAUUUCUAGUUGGGAUUGUGUUAUAAAAGGUCAAAUCGAUGGCAUUCUUGGUUAGAUCGACGCGUUGGCGUGUGAGUGGCUAUUUGAAUGUUUGUGUUGGCUGGCUCCCUGCUUUUGCAGCGAACAGUUGGCGCAUUCAUAUUUCAGUCGGGACCGAGAUGUGCGUGUAGGAUUUUUGUGUUGGCAACCCAAUUUUGGAAUUCUUAUGACUCUGAUUGCAUAACUUCGCCGAACAACCCUUGAGGUGCUAGGCGGACGAUGAAGCUGACCCUUUUUUUGCCAUGCUCUCCCUUUUAGGGAACCAUGGAAAAUCGGUUGUAUUGCUUGUUGCCUCGGAUUCAGAGCAUGAAGCGAGCAUGAUGCGCGCCAUCAUCGCUCAUUCAGAGCUCUCGAUUGCUCAGGAAAUAUAGACCGUCGCGCUUGGUUUCGGCUGCCGACUCGUCGUUCAUACCCGAAACCUCGCCGGCGUCUUCAAUGAAUGCUACCUGGUUGAUCCUGCCAGUAGUCAUAUGCUUGUCUCAAAGAUUAAGCCAU
rnacentral:misc_RNA from 1 species